GAUGAACGCUGGCGGCGUGCCUAAUACAUGCAAGUCGAGCGAACAGACGAGGAGCUUGCUCCUCUGACGUUAGCGGCGGACGGGUGAGUAACACGUGGAUAACCUACCUAUAAGACUGGGAUAACUUCGGGAAACCGGAGCUAAUACCGGAGAAUAUAUUGAACCGCAUGGUUCAAUAGUGAAAGACGGUUUUGCUGUCACUUAUAGAUGGAUCCGCGCCGCAUUAGCUAGUUGGUAAGGUACCGGCUUACCAAGGCAACGAUGCGUAGCCGACCUGAGAGGGUGAUCGGCCACACUGGAACUGAGACACGGUCCAGACUCCUACGGGAGGCAGCAGUAGGGAAUCUUCCGCAAUGGGCGAAAGCCUGACGGAGCAACGCCGCGUGAGUGAUGAAGGUCUUCGGAUCGUAAAACUCUGUUAUUAGGGAAGAACAAAUGUGUAAGUAACUAUGCACGUCUUGACGGUACCUAAUCAGAAAGCCACGGCUAACUACGUG
rnacentral:rRNA from 1 species